rnacentral:rRNA from 1 species
AUACGUAGGUGGCAAGCGUUGUCCGGAAUUAUUGGGCGUAAAGGGCGCGUAGGCGGCGCGGUAAGUCUGGAGUGAAAGUCCUGCUUUCAAGGUGGGAAUUGCUUUGGAUACUGCCGCGCUUGAGUGCAGGAGAGGUUAUCGGAAUUCCCGGUGUAGCGGUGAAAUGCGUAGAGAUCGGGAGGAACACCAGUGGCGAAGGCGGGUAACUGGACUGCAACUGACGCUGAGGCGCGAAAGUGUGGGGAGCAAACAGGAUUAGAUACCCUGGUAGUCCACACUGUAAACGAUGAAUGCUAGGUGUAAGAGGUAUCGACCCCUUUUGUGCCGGAGUCAACACAAUAAGCAUUCCGCCUGGGGAGUACGGCCGCAAGGUUGAAACUCAAAUGAAUUGGCGGGG